GUUUUUUUAUUGCUUGUUAUCAAGGAGUAUAGAGAUGUUUCUGUGAUAUGGAGAUUUGAUGGGCUCUCGGAAGAAGAAUGAAUGCUCUGCUCUGCUCUGCCUAGGGAGCUUUGGGUGCCAUGGGAGAGAAAAGCUCCUGCCCAAGUACGCAUAUCUCGCUAAUCCCUCCCACUCCUCGAUUCUAUCCCAUCCCUACCUGCCCAGCCCCUUAGUGUUGUCCCCUGGAUCGUUCGAUCCCCCCUGCUUUGCCACUGCACCGACCCCUUCUCUCUGCCUUGCCCUUCUGUGCUGGUUGGUACUCUUGUCCUGGCAAUUUCUGCUAAGCUAUCAGUGGCUCUCGUCGGUUCAUUCUAUCAGACUAUCUAAGGGGUAUCGAGAGAUGGGCCCAAAGACUUUAGGGUUGUCCCGACCUCAGUUGCAGGAGACUUUCAGCUGGGAAGACUCUCUUCAUCUUUCCUUUGGCAAGUUCUGUCCCCAUCUACGCAAAGACCGACCUUGCGAAGUUUAGAGGAGCCUCACUUUUUCUUUCUCCCUGGCCCCUGGAGGAAGGGGCAUUCAAACUUCAGAAAGUGUGGGUCAGAUUUUUCGACAUCCCUCUCCACAUUUGGACAGCAGAAACGUUCUGCACCCUGGGUAAGGCAUGUGGCUCAUUAAUGACACUGGAAAUCGAUGGAACUACUCCCUAUGGGAGCUAUGCAGGUGUUGGUCGAAAUCAUGGACCUAGAUUUUAUUCCUAUAGCCCUUUGGCUAGUGGUGGAAGGUCAUUUCUACAAGGUACGGUGUGCAUGGAAAAACAUCGAAGUGCUUGACUCUAUCUCUGAGAAUCUAGCCUAGGUUCAGAAGGCUUUGAUCGACUAUUUCCAAAAUAUUGUCUCUGCCCCUCUCAGCCCUAAACAUACCCUAAGUAAUCUUUCUUUCCUUUCUCUCCCCUCCAAGAAGGCUAGUUGGGUAGAGCAACCUUCUUUCGAAGAGGAAAUUCUCAAGGCCAUUCACGAUCUUGGCUAAGACAAAGCCCCCAGCCCUGAUGGUUUUCCGGUCACCAUCUUUAGCACUUUUUGGCAUGUCUUGUGACAAGAUGCCAUUGCUUUCUUUUAGGAGUUCCAUGCUAGGGGCAUCGUCCAUAAAGCCCUCAAUGCUUUGUUCAUCACUAUUAUACCGAAGAUUGAAAGGCCAGAGGAACCGAAGGACUUCGGACCUAUAAACCUCCUAAAUAACUGGUAUAAGAUUUUGGCCAAAGUGUUAGCAUCUCAAAUAAGAGAAGUGCUCAGUCUUGUUAUUUGUCCUCAACAUGGUGCUUUCGUGAAAGACCGCCAGAUUCUUGAUGGUGCUCUAGUAACCCAAGUCUUCUGGCCUUAUUGUGAAAUCUAACUGGGACAAAGCCUAUGAUCACAAGCCCCCACUUUUUGUUGUUAGUCAAUAGCUCACCUAGGGGCUUCUUCCCUUAUUUUAGAGGUUUGCGCCAGGGUGAUCCACUGUCCCCUUUCUCUUUACUAUUGUCGCGGAAGUCUUUAGCCAAUCCAUUCCUGCCUCUACAGUGUUAACGUGCUUAACGGCUUUAAGUGCGUGCCCAAUAGUCCUUCAUCCUUCACCGGUUCCUUAAGAUCUUUGAGUGGACCAUGGGACUCAAGAUCAACUUUGGGAAGUCUAACAUGAUCAGGAUUGCUCCAUGAUCAACUUUGUCGAGAGUUGGGGAUGGGCAAUCGAGAACCUUCCUUCGUCAUAUCUCGGACUCCCCCUUUGCAUAGGCAAACCUAUGCCUAGUGCUUGGGCAUACAUCAUUGACAAGUUUGAUCAUAGGCUUGCAUAUUGGAAAGGCUACUUCCUAUCACCGACUGGUAGAACUACACACAUUAAGGCAACCCUCUCAGGUAUUUCAAUUUUUCAAAUGUCUCUCUUAAGAAUGCUGGUGACAGUCAUUGCCCUCAUUUGCAAUCUUAAGUUUACCAACAUUGCCCUCAUGGGUAAAUGGUGGUGGCGCUUUGCCAUGCAAUCCAAUCAUCUAUGGUAGUCGGUCCUCUAGCAGAAGUACCACUUGCCUAUUGGCUGCCACCUUGGUCUUAUAAAAGGGCGUAAGGGAUUUGGGCUGCGUUGCAAAGCAUUCUCAAGAUCUUCAAUCCCAACAUGCGUGUGCGUGCACACGAAGGCCUGCGGACGAAAUUGUGGUGUGACCUAUGGUUGGGUCCCUCUUCUCUCUCUAACAGCUUCCCUUCUCUCUUUCGGCUGAUGCUUAAUAGGCAGGAGUUAGUCUCAGAUGUAUUCCAAGUGCUCUAUCAUAGGCAACUGUGGACUCCAAUCUUCAGAAGGUCGCCCUCCGAGGAUGAAAUGCUUGAGUGCCUCGAGUUUUUCUCGCUCAUGGAUUCGACCUUUAUGCCUUUUAUGUGCAGUGAUAGGCUCAUUUGGUGCCCUUCUCCCUCGGGAGUAUUUUCGGUCUUCUCCUUAUAUCGCAAGCUCAUUCAGCCUCCCACCUUUCCCCUUAAUCCCCCAUCCGUUGCUGCCAAGGCUUGGUUUCCACUAAUUCAGUUUUUCAAUUGCUUGGUCCUCCAUCAAAGAGCACUCACGGUCAACCAACUUCAGAGGAGAGGGAUCCCGAUGCCUAAUCGUUGCACGAUGUGCUUUGAAACAGAGGAAAUUAAUGACCACAUGUUUAUUCAUUGCCCACUUGCCGUUGCUCUGUGGGGUCGCCUCCUCAUCCUCUUCCACAGGCAGUGGGUCAUACCACUAUUUAUCCCUCUUCCUUUUUUCCUCUCUUCAGCCGUACACCUGGCUGAAGUCAGACAUUCUCCUUUGGAAUGCUUCCACCCUGGCUCUUAUUUGGAUGGUUUGGAUAGAGCGCAAUAACCUCAUCUUCCAAGGCCAAUUCAGGUCCACCGAUUCUCUCUUCCAUAAAAUGAAAUCCCUGGUGUCCUUUUGGGCAGCCAAUCGUAAGUAGUUAAGAGGGGUCCAAUCAGCGGCUCUUCUCAGUGAUUGGCAACACCUAUGCUAUCUCUCGUAGUACAGGGUACCUCAAUCCUCCUUCUGGACGCCACCUAGACCAAGGGCAAUCAAGUUAAACUUUGACAGGCGUCCUCUGGGAAAUCCUGGACCUACUGGUAUUGGUGGUCUCUUCUGGAAUAGGGAGGGCCAGAUUUUGAGCUCCUUUUCAAGUCGAUCAGCAAAAGCGCUCGCCCUCCUUGAAGGGAUUGAACUAUUUACUCAUUGCCUGUCCGUACCUUUGGUAGCUGAAGGAAACUCACACAAUGUCAUUCGGUGGGUCUCCUCGGCCGACUCCUACCUGUGGACCCUCUCUCAGAUCUUUGAAGAAAUAGCCCAGUUGGGCUCGGGGAUUGCUGUCUCUUGGAACCAUUUCUUGAGAGAGAGCCACACGCUUGCAGCUGCCCGGGCCAAAGAGGGAGCCACAAUCCCUUUGCCCAAGUCUCAACAUUGCGCCAGGCAAUGUGACCCAUCAUGAAUAUAUUCAGGUUGGCAAAGGACGAGAUGUUGGGCUGAAUCAAAUUGCUUCAUUUGAAGGAAAAGUGGCUGUUGGGAAUGGUGAACAAGUUCUUAGUAGGGAUGUGUAUAGACUUGGGCAACUCUUUGAUUUCUUCCGCAUGCUUUCCUUCUACUAUACCACAGUCGGCUUUUACUUUUGUACAAUGUUGACUGUGCUGACUGUAUAUAUAUUUCUAUAUGGGAAUAUAUAUUUGGCACUAUCUGGAGUAGGCCAAAGUCUUGUGGGUUCAACACUGCUUUGAAUGCGGCCCACAACACGCAGUUCUUGUUCUAGAUUGGUAUCUUUACAGCAGUUCCCAUGAUUUUGGGUUUCAUUUUGGAGCAGGGUCUUUUUUAAGGCCAUUGUCAGCUUUCUUACUAAGCAGUUCAGCUUUGUUCUGUCUUUUUCACAUUUUCCCUUGGUACAAGGACUCACUACUUUGGUCGAACAAUUCUCCAUGGUGGUGCGAGGUUGGUUCAUGGCACCAUCAUGGCUUUUUGCUCCCUAUCUUUUCGAUCCUUCUGGUUUUGAAUGGAAGAAGGUGGUUGAGGAUUUUGAGGACUGGACGAACUGGCUCUUUUACCGAGGUGGUGUUGGAGUAAAGGGUGAGGAAAGCUGGGAAACAUGGUGGGAUGAAGAACAUGUAUUUGGUUUUUAAAAUUGUUCACACUUGGUUGAGAGGAACCCCUUUCCCCAUUUCAAGGGGGACAUGUACCUAAAUAGGCCAAGGAUUGCAUUAAUUACAGCUAAAUAUUUGACAUCUU